GGCGAGGUGGCCGAGUGGUUAUGGCGCUACGUUUAGGUCAUUCUAAACCCGUUGUUCGAAAGAGCGUGGGUUCGAUCCCCACCCUCGUCA